GAAAUGUGAUACUUAAUGUGAAUUGCAGAAUACCGUGAAUCAUCGAAAUCUUGAACGCAUACUGCGCCUGAGAGUCAUCUCUUAGGCAUGCCUGUUAGAGUGUCAGUUAUCAUAUCAAUCUAGCUGAAAUGGCUGGGACUUUGGUGGUACAUGGAGUAAAAUCCGUUUUCCGCUUAAAAUAUAGUAUUUCUGGGCCAAGCGUAUCCAAAACUACCUGCUUGCCGUGAACUGUUAAAUAGUGCCUAUAAAAAGGUUUAUUAUACAGCCUCAGGCAGUAUGGCAAGUUUGGCCAACGGCUUCCUGGAUAAUACAUUUUUUGAACCUCGAUCUUUCCAGUAGCUACGGGCUCGCUAAAGAUCACCUUUAACAAUUUGACCUCUAAUAGACAAGACUACCCGCU
rnacentral:misc_RNA from 1 species